rnacentral:rRNA from 1 species
CGGGCGACGGUCGGUCUAAGUCCUUUGGAACGGGGCGUCACAGAGGGUGAGAAUCCCGUAUGUGACCGGUNAUCGAGCCCAUGUGAAACCCCAUUCGACGAGUCGAGUUGUUUGGGAAUGCAGCUCAAAACGGGUGGUAAAUUUCAUCUAAAGCUAAAUACCGGCCAGAGACCGAUAGCGCACAAGUAGAGUGAUCGAAAGAUGAAAAGCACUUUGGAAAGAGAGUCAAAAAGUACGUGAAAUUGUUGAAAGGGAAGCGCUUGCGACCAGACCUGCCCGCGGGCGAUCAGCCGUCCUUCUGGGCGGUGCAUUCGUCCGCCAUCAGGCCAGCAUCGGUUCGGGCGACCGGAUAAAGGCUCGGGGAACGUAGCUCCCUUCGGGGAGUGUUAUAGCCUCGGGCGUCAUGCGGCCCGCCGGGACCGAGGACCGCGCUUCGGCUAGGAUGCUGGCGUAAUGGUCGUAAGCGGCCCGUCUUGAAACACGGACCAAGGAGUCGACCAACUAUGCGAGUGUUUGGGCGUCAAACCCACACGCGCAAUGAAAGUGAACGGAGGUGGGAACCCCUCGCGGGGCGCACCAUCGACCGAUCCAGAUGUCUUCGGAUGGAUUUGAGUACGAGCAUAGCUGGUCGGACCCGAAAGAUGGUGAACUAUGCCUGAAUAGGGUGAAGCCAGAGGAAACUCUGGUGGAGGCUCGCAGCGGUUCUGACGUGCAAAUCGAUCGUCAAAUUUGGGCAUAGGGGCGAAAGACUAAUCGAACCGUC